CCGCGAACGGGUGAGUAACACGUGGGUAACCUACCCCGAUGACCGGGACAACCCGAGGAAACUCGGGCUAAUACCGGAUAUGUCCGACAUUCACGAGGAUGUCGAGCAAAGGAAGCUUCGGCCUCCGCUUCGGGAGGGGCCCGCGGCCCAUUAGCUAGUUGGUGGGGUAAUGGCCUACCAAGGCUGCGAUGGGUAGCUGGUCUGAGAGGACGAUCAGCCACACUGGGACUGAGACACGGCCCAGACUCCUACGGGAGGCAGCAGUGGGGAAUCUUGCGCAAUGCGCGAAAGCGUGACGCAGCAACACCGCGUGAGGGAAGACGGCCUUCGGGUUGUAAACCUCUUUCAGGAGGGACGAAGGAUGGGCGGUGAAUAGCCGUUCCAUCUGACGGUACCUUCAGAAGAAGCACCGGCUAACUACGUGCCAGCAGCCGCGGUAAUACGUAGGGUGCAAGCGUUGUCCGGAAUCAUUGGGCGUAAAGCGCGCGUAGGCGGCCCGAUAAGUCCGCUGUAAAAGUCAACGGCUCAACUGUUGAAAGC
rnacentral:rRNA from 1 species